GAUGAACGCUGGCGGCGUGCCUAAUACAUGCAAGUCGAGCGAACAGACGAGGAGCUUGCUCCUCUGACGUUAGCGGCGGACGGGUGAGUAACACGUGGAUAACCUACCUAUAAGACUGGGAUAACUUCGGGAAACCGGAUCUAAUACCGGAUAAUAUAUUGAACCGCAUGGUUCAAUAGUGAAAGACGGUUUUGCUGUCACUUAUAGAUGGAUCCGCGCCGCAUUAGCUAGUUGGUAAGGUAACGGCUUACCAAGGCAACGAUGCGUAGCCGACCUGAGAGGGUGAUCGGCCACACUGGAACUGAGACACGGUCCAGACUCCUACGGGAGGCAGCAGUAGGGAAUCUUCCGCAAUGGGCGAAAGCUUGACGGAGCAACGCCGCGUGAGUGAUGGAGGUCUUCGGAUCGUAAAACUCUGUUAUUAGGGAAGAACAAAUGUGUAAGUAACUAUGCACGUCUUGACGGUACCUAAUCAGAAAGCCACGGCUAACUACGUG
rnacentral:rRNA from 1 species